rnacentral:rRNA from 1 species
UUAGCCAAACCAGCCCUCCUUGUCAAAGCCUGAUCUCAUCAGAUCUCAGACGCUAAGCAGAGCUGGGCCUGGUUAGUACUUGGAUGUGGGGCCACAGUGGGGCACCAGUGGCAAAA